UAAAUGCUUAGUGUGCUUUGAGGCGAUUUUCCUGGUGUCAUUGAUUACGUGAUAGUCAUAAAAUACAAAACAUGUGCUAUGAAUGUUUAUGGGUUAAGACUCUACCCAAUGUUGAUGCGACCAUCAAAGUUGAUUGUGAGUGUUAUAAUAACUUCAAGUUGAAGUUCUAGUUGUCGACUUGUGAAUUGGUUUAUGUUUUUUUUUUUUUUUGGGCGAGUACGCCAAACCAUGUAAUGGUGAGUUCAUAUUGUAUGAGUCUUUACUUAUAUUAUUUUUAGAAGAGAAAUAGUACUCUUGAUUUAGAUUAUUUGUUUGCUCGCGAAAGCGUUGAGCAUUGGAUUUGGAAAUGCUUUUACGUAUUGUGAUUGUAACAGGUUUAGAACACUUUUUCUCAUUUCGAGUUGUCCAUUUUACAAAGGAAACUCUGCCGAAUUUUCCAGAAAAUCCUAUGUUAUUAUUUAAAGCACUUGUGAACAAUAGUGUAGUUAUGAAUUGAAUUUCACACUCUACGACAUAGUCCAACGAGUGUGACGGUAGUGGUUCGGUUUAGCUUGACUUAGAUUGUUUCCCGUCGUGUCUAAGUUUAUCAGUCUAUAUGUGAUCCUUGAAAGGAUAGUUGAUUGUGUAUGUAAUAAAUCCAUGUUUCUUAGUUACGACAUCGUAUUAGUAACUCUUCACAAGGUGAUAGUUGGAGUUCUAGUUGAGACUCUAGGCCAAUAGAUCCGUAAGACCCGUAGGGUUGAGAAAUAGAUAGUAAACGUUUUGGUCGCACCACAAUACUAAGGAACUACUCGUAAGACCAAGGAUGUCAUGUGUUUUAUGUGUCCCCGUCUCUUGUUCAUGUUAUUGUUAGUUACGAGGGCGUAACACCCUUUUUAAGGGGGGUAGACUUCAUACUAAUUCUUGCAUGUUAUUAUUGAUGGUUCCUGUAUUAGUAAGUGUUGUUAUUUCCAUUUGAGCUUAUCUAUGAAUAUGUGAAGUGCUAGUUAAGAUUUUAUACAUCAAGUGAUAGUAGUUGACUAAAGUACAAGUCAAGGAGUUGUUUUGCAAAAAGAGAAUAAGUUUGGUUUUUGAGUGUUAUUCUAAGUUUCGGGGCGAAACUUAUUUUAAGGGGGAUAGAUUGUAACACCCCACAAUUUUUGUACCUAUUUAUAUGCUUAUUAUUUGUAUAUUAAAUAUUUUAUGAAAGUAAAUUAAAUUAUUUCUUUUAUGAAAAUAUUAAUUUUUCUCACUUUGCUUUAGUUCAAGAGUGGUCAACUAAGUUUUAUAUUUCUAAAAAGGGUUAUCAUAUAAGUAUACACCUCUAAGUUUAGAUGGUAAAAGGAAAACAAAUAGAAAAGAGAGGGAAAAAAAAGGAAAAAGGAGUUUAAAACCAAAAAAAAAGAAAAAAGAAAAAGAAAAAAAAAAGAACAAAGGCUUUACGGGAUUGUAAUUCCCAGCCAAAACAAACAAACAAAACAAAGGUUUCUUUCUUUUGGUUCACUUCAUCUUCUACCCUAUUCAUUCUUCUCCUAUUUCUUGAUUCAAUACCCUAAAUUCACAAACUUUGUUAAACGUUUAUCACUCUUCCUUCCUCUACCUUCAACAAUACUUGAUUUUGUGGGUAUUUCAAAGAGUGAAAAUUUGGGUUUCAAAUUAGACGUUUUUGGGGGCGAAAAUCGGAUUUAAAAAAAGUGAUUUUCGGGUCUUUUUCUUGAGUAAUUUCAUCUCUCUAUUCAAAUCACGGGUUUGUAGAGGAACCUUUUUGACUCGUAAUUGAGAUUGGUUGAUAGUGGUUUGCUAAUAAGCGCUUGAUAGUGACUAGCUUAUAUUGGGGUGAGAGCGUUGAUUUCACCUAGAUGUAGAUUAAUUAAAGUUAAGACUUCCGCUGCAAUAGUUUAGAAUUAUGGUUUGUUAUAGGAGUGUAUUAAUUAAUUACAUUUCCUUUUAGUUGUAAU